GCAUGUGGCUCAAUGGCAGAGCAUCUGCUUUGCAUGCAGGAAGUCCCAGAUUCAAUUCCCAGUACCUCCA